rnacentral:lncRNA from 9 species
CACGUUCUGAAGGGCUCGGGCCGGGGCUUCAACACCCGAAGUCCAGGAACACAAUUCAGCCCGCCCCAGAAACGACGAAAGGUGGGGAAAGAUGGGGAAAGAUGGAGGCAGCGCUCGGAGACGGGGGCAGGAUCCCCGAAGAAGAGGAGCCUGAAGGCGGCGGGAGAGGACGGGGCGGCCCGAGCCGGACAGACGAGCCCUCUCGCGUGGAUGCGGGGCCAGCGGAAGCUCACUCUGGCGCCUCCGGGGACCGAAUGGCCCCGAGGACGAGGCCCAGCCACCGUGCUCAGCAGGGGGCCAGGGGCUCCUCAGAGUGACAGAGACAGAGAGAGUCACACACGGUCCCGGAGGCCACGGCAGCCCAGCAACCUGGGACUGGACCCGGGAGAAAGACCUGAGACGAGGGGGCAGCAGCCAGCUCCGUCCAGUGACUAAUCACGGGGUUUGACAGCGAGGUGGCACCGAGAAAGGGCUGUGGGCUUCCAUGUGAGGUGGGGGCCCCAGGACACCCCCGAUGACCCCAGGGACACGUCUGCUGACAGCCCUACAAGGACUGAGCGGCAUGCUGACGCCCUGCUCCCACAGCAGCCGCCUCCGCCCUGCGCGAACUCCGUGCUGCCCGCGGCCAAGGGGAGGUGGCAGGUGGCGGCUCCCGCUGCGGGCGGCCCCCAGGCUCCAUCCACGGAGGACAGUGCCCCCUCUACUUUGCAGGAAGGAGCCUGACGCACGCAUAGCUGUGUUCCCCUCACCUCUCCUGACACCGGGGCUUCUGCGGGGCCCCUGGCAGGCUCUGGCCCCUCCUGCCCCUCUUUCCCCAGGCCCCUCAGGAGGCAGAGCAGGCAGAGCCUCAGUUCUAAUCAGCCUGGGAGUCAGGUCCCGUCGAAUAUUUUCAGCACAAAGCAGAAGAGUUCCCAUGAAAUCUGUCCCUUCAUUCCAGGAAGUGGCACCCAUCCGGGGGAAGGCGGAAAUUCAUCGCUGAAGCGCACCCGAAGCGCUUACGUGAUCGCCGGAUGGGACGAGACAAACAGUCGCGUGAUUUUAUAAGUGUCGCUGCCGAUGCUC